ensembl:ncRNA F09C3.8 ncRNA
UAGGCUUUGGCUUAGGCUUCACUUUGGGUUUAAGCUAAGGCUUAGGCUUAGGCUUAGACUUAGGAU